rnacentral:rRNA from 1 species
AGCGAACGCUGGCGGCAGGCCUAACACAUGCAAGUCGAACGAAGCCUUCGGGCUUAGUGGCGGACGGGUGAGUAACACGUGGGAACGUACCUUUUGGUUCGGAACAACUCAGGGAAACUUGAGCUAAUACCGGAUGAGCCCUUAGGGGGAAAGAUUUAUCGCCGAAAGAGCGGCCCGCGUUAGAUUAGCUAGUUGGUGAGGUAAAGGCUCACCAAGGCAACGAUCUAUAGCCGGUCUGAGAGGAUGAUCAGCCACACUGGGACUGAGACACGGCACAGACUCCUACGGGAGGCAGCAGUGGGGAAUCUUGCGCAAUGGGCGAAAGCCUGACGCAGCCAUGCCGCGUGAAUGAUGAAGGUCUUAGGAUUGUAAAAUUCUUUUACCAGGGACGAUAAUGACGGUACCUGGAGAAAAAGCCCCGGCUAACUUCGUGCCAGCCGCCGCGGUAAAAC